CACGUAGGGGGCGAGCGUUGUCCGGAUUUAUUGGGCGUAAAGAGCGUGUAGGCGGCCAGGUAGGUCUGGUGUGAAAACUCGAGGCUUAACCUCGAGAUGUCAUCGGAAACCAUCUGGCUAGAGUCCGGAAGAGGAGAGUGGAAUUCCUGGUGUAGCGGUGAAAUGCGCAGAUAUCAGGAAGAACACCAAUGGCGAAAGCAGCUCUCUGGGACGGUACUGACGCUGAGACGCGAAAGCGUGGGGAGCGAACAGG
rnacentral:rRNA from 1 species